UAAAAGCUACGCUAGGGAUAACAGGCUUAUACGCCCAUAGAGCAUUAUCAACGGGCGUGUUUGGCACCUCGAUGUUGGAUCAUCGCAUCCUUGAGCUGCAGAAGGUUCAAAGGGUCGGACUGUUCGUCCGGGAACGCGGUACGUGAUCUGAGUUCAAAGCGUCGUGAGACAGUUUGGUUUCUAUCUUUGUGCGUAAAUAAAAUAAGGGGUUUCAUACCGUACGAAAGGAUUGAUGUG
rnacentral:rRNA from 1 species